rnacentral:misc_RNA from 1 species
GAAUUUUUUUGGGCCAAAUACAUAUUUUUCACUCUUAAACUUUGUGUUUUAACUUAUCAUAUCCCUAAAUUUUUCGAAAAACCUAUCACACCCCUGAACUUGCAAAUUUUAUAACAAUUAAGCAAAAUUUUGGUGCUUAUGCUUAUAUGCAUGAUAAAGCAGGUGAUUAAUAGCUCCAAAUUGUCUUGUUUCUUUACUUUUUAAUUUUUUGUUCAUUUUCUUACUAACUUAGCAGAGAGUAGAAUUGAAGAAAACUUCUCCAGCAGCUUUAUUCUACAUCAUGAACCUGGCUCUACAUCUUCUCCAUCUUUUUCCUGUUUCUUUUUCUCAGUAGCUUGGGGGGGUUUAGUAAUAAGAUUUUAUUUGAGUAGUAAAAAAUUGAGUUUUUUUGUUUACUGGGUGCUUUCAUUAUGGGAUUUAGGGGUGCAGAUUGGCAUGGGAGGU